UACGUAGGGUGCAAGCGUCAAUCGGAAUCACUGGGCGUAAAGGGCGCGUAGGCGGCCGUUCAAGUCGGGGGUGAAAGCCUGUGGCUCAACCACAGAAUGGCCUUCGAUACUGGACGGCUCGAGACCGGAAGAGGUCAGUGGAACUGCGAGUGUAGAGGUGAGAUUCGUAGAUAUUCGCAAGAGCACCAGUGGCGAAGGCGGCUGACUGGUCCGGUUCUGACGCUGAGGCGCGAAAGCGUGGGGAGCAAACAGG
rnacentral:rRNA from 1 species